GAGCACGUUCACGUCUUAAAGCACCAUCUUGGGGAUUCAAAGAUGACAGUACUGAGACUGAGUUUCUUUCACUGAUCUUUCCCAAGGUAGAAGACAAGGAAAGAUUUCUUGGACUGCCCACUCAUUCUCACCAAGACAAUCUUGGUGCUUCCUGAAAGAGAAAUUCAGCUCUCUUCAGAUAAAACCAGUGACAAUAAAUUUGAAGACCUCUCCAAUGCUGCUACAUUUCCCAGACAUUCUACCUAAGCAUCGGGGGAGGAGAUUCUAUCUGUUGCAGUCCUUGAGUCUUUCAAGCACGACCUUGAGCGGCCGCCAACGUAGCAGCAGCAUGUUCAUGCAGUCUCCAUUUGAAGCUGAGUGGAUGAAUCGGUGAUCAGUUCAAGUAACUUCAGUUCUAUCAGAGAACAGCAGCAGAAGAAGGCUCAGAUGAUUCUACAACAACCAGACCUGCCAUGAAUCUCCUGCAGGCUUUGGAAGAUAGCAUUGGGGAGGAGGAAUGAAAAACGGUUCUUAAAAGAGAGUUGUGCAUGGAAAGUUAUCACUGAAAGACUUCCCAGAUAUACUGGAAUUUGGCAGAGGAAUUUGGAAGAGGAAGAGAUGGACAAUAAUCUGAAAGCAUUUUUUGCUGAAGUUAGAGCCUUGUAUGAUCUCCUUCUCCCUACAAAAGAAGUUGCUCUUCCACCCAAAUCCUGAGAAUCAAAUCUGGGACACCAAGAGCAAUCAAUAAUAGGAUGUCCCGCUGGGCCUUGGAUGAAAGCAGAAGGGGAGUUUCAAAUUGCUUGUUCUGAAGAAGAAACCUAGUGGAUGAUGAAAGACCUGCUUAAACUCCCCCUCUGAUUCCAUUCCGGUUGCAGAAGCCUUUGAACGGAAUAUUUACCUGUAAGCAAAUGAGCACUGGAACCAAUUGGAGACUGGGUUCAGACACAGAACGAAUGGCUGCCGAGGCCACAGUGAUCUGCAUUUUUCUCAGCAUUCUUCAUGCAAAGAGAUGACACAGCUAACUCGUUUCUUAGCUAGAGUAACCAUAAGUCCCUGCUUAGUUUUAACAAUCUUUGAUUUUGUGGCUUUCCCUGUAUCCUGGAUGGUACUGAAAAUAUCAGCUGCAUAGUU